UACGUAGGGCGCGAGCGUUGUCCGGAAUUAUUGGGCGUAAAGAGCUCGUAGGCGGCCUGUUGCGUCCGCUGUGAAAUCCCGGGGCUCAACCCCGGGCUUGCAGUGGAUACGGGCUGGCUAGAGGCAGGCAGGGGAGAACGGAAUUCCCGGUGUAGCGGUGAAAUGCGCAGAUAUCGGGGGGAACACCGGUGGCGAAGGCGGUUCUCUGGGCCUGUACUGACGCUGAGGAGCGAAAGCGUGGGGAGCGAACAGG
rnacentral:rRNA from 1 species